GCCCUUAUAGUCCAAUUGGCAGAGGCACUAGGUUAAGAUCCUAGAUAGUGAGAGUUCGAAUCUCUCUAAGGGUA
rnacentral:tRNA from 1 species